AAACCAUGAUGAGGGCAGUCUCUCUCAUACUCCUUGAAUCGCUCCCAGGCUUCAUACAAUGACUACCUCAAGAAACUUCAAGCUGUGUCU
rnacentral:snoRNA from 1 species